CAGUAACGAUGAUAAUAGUUUUUUUUUAAUCUUGCCCAGGCAAAUAAAUUCAGUUUUAUUUUGAGGUUUACUUGGAUGAAUUUCAGCUGGAGUUGGGGUUGUCAGAGCCUGAACCAAAGUCCAGUGCAGGCUCCUACCUCAUUUUAAUGCAUAUUAGCAGACUGGGUUCUUAAACCUCAGGUCUGCAGUUUUCAAGAUCCUGACUGACACAGAUCAAUGGAUUUUAUUCCAGAAACUCAGUUGGGACAGUUAAUGCCCAUUAAAUUGGAGACAGUGGGGGCCAGACGGGUGCCAAAGUGCUUUUCUGAAUUGGAUAUUAUUUAAAAAAUAAUUUUGUGGUUUGAUACAAAAGUAUGGAAGCACUGUAUUUAACUAUUUGGUGAGACAAGUCAAUGAGAUAAGGAGGGAAGAUAAAUUAAUGAAUAAUUUGCACAUUUAUUGAAUGACUAAUUUGAUCUUUCACUCUUUCCAGUCAAGUGAGCCUUUAUUUCACGUAUAACAUACCUGAGACCCCCUUCUCUUUACAGUGAAAUUAAACCCCCUCCAAUCUGUGACCAUAACUCUAAAUUCUGUAGUGUAGUUGUGCGUGUUUCAGAAAGGUGCGGGUGUGACCUUGGGGGGAUUAUGGUAUAAGUGGAAUGAGGGAGUCACAUUUAGACUUUUUAUUUUAUUUUAGACGGUAAUAAGAUUUUAAGUGCCUUGCAUCUUCUAAUUGCCUUUCAUGACCCUUCGAAGUUGCGACAAACUGGUUGAGAAAAGCUGGACUAAAUAAAUCGAAUUGUGACGUAUUAAAAUUAAAUUAUCAAGGCUUUUCUCAAGGAUAGUGUGUUUUUGCAGCCUUUACUCUGGAAAAAUAUUACUGGAGGGGCAAACCAGUACACAUCAGUGAUGGAAGUGAAAUCUUGCCCCUUUGAAAUAGGUAGAAUGGGGUCACCAUUGUUUUGUAAGCAGCCUUCACUCCCACUCCUCCUCAUCCCCCCAUUUUUUGGCUGAUUGUUCAGCACCUCAGUUGUGACAGUAGAACCAUGUGCGAUGAAUCCAGCUGGAGCUGAGCAAGUAGCUGGCGACUGCAGCAAGGAGGCCCUUGUACCAGCACCUUUGAGGUCUUGCUGUGUCCUCUUGUCCCCAUGUGUGCACUGGCCUUGUGAGAGCAUCUGCAACAGUGCCUGUGUCUUUCGAGUGUGAUAAAACAUUGAAUAUUUAUCAGUCAGCACUCUGCCCACCGGUGUCUUUUCAUUGGAAUGACUUCUCUUCCAAACCCUCAAGCAAUUUUCAAGGACCUUUCAUUCUUUUAAAACAACCAGUCCAGAAAAAAAGGGUUCCUUCAUUUUCACCCAACUACUUUAAGAAUAAGCACCACUUUCCCAUGAAGGGAAAUAUUUAGUUCUGGCAAAACACGGAAACUCUGUCGGCUCUGAAGUUGAAUGUCUUUGGCCACUCAAAGUAGACAAUGGUUGUUCUUCUCUUCAACGAGUAAGAAUAGUCAUUCCUUACACUCCUCAGAAAGGUCAUGGUCUCCAUUCAUAGCCUAAUUGUAUGUAGGACAGCUAUCUUAGAUCACAUUCAGAGCUUUGCAGAAUAUAUUAUUUUCUCUUUCUCAAGAAUCCAGUAGCAUUAGAAUUUAGCUUCCAGUAGGAAACUGACAUUUUAAAUGCAGAGAUACAAAUAACAAUCCUUUUUUUUUAAAAAGUAACUUAUCUGACACUAUAAUGCCAGCAUCAUAUAUAACUGGGGAUGAAAAAAUGGGUUACAUAAAAAAUUCGCUUAGCUAUUAAUGAAAUACCUGUGAUGAUACUGAUAUAUUUAUUGUACACCAAAAAGUACCUUCCACACACAACUGUGUACACAUAAUAUAUACCCAGAAUUUCCUUGCUGAAGACACAGAAAGCAAAGUUUUUUAAAGGAAGAAUUGCAAAUAAUGAGGAAGCGUACAGCUGACUUAUAUAAAUACACAAGCAAAUACAUGUUGAUUGCUACUCCAUGCUGAUAAAUGUAGCCUAUUGAAAGCUGGGAGAAGGCAAAAUGUCUGCUAAAUGUUACAACAUUGCUGAAUACUAACCAGGAAAGAGAUUUCAACUUUAUUGUUGGGAAAUCCCCGAAGCCUUUGCUGUGCUGGUUCAAUAGGCAGCUGUGGCAUACGUAGGAUAAACAGAACGCUGUGCAAAAAAAAAAAAAAAUCUCUAACAAAGGAGCUGGUAAUGAAGGCUAACAUAUCACUGGGCUAAAGGUAUUCCUGGUGUAAAUAUAUUGAUAUGAUUGGUAUUGUGCUGAUGAUGAAAUUGCUAUCGUUAGAGCUAGCUGAUUUAAAUAAGUAAAAAAAGCCAAUAACAGGUUGGAGGGGGGUUGCUAAUCUUUGGAAGCAAAUCUCACGCUUUAAAAAAUGUAUUUGAAAAUACAAAAGCCUGAAUGAACAGGUAGUGACCUCUGAGCUCAUAUUAGAUAACUGGCAGUCAAGUGGGGAAUAUAUAUGUUCAGGUCACCUGAUUUUAUUUUCGGACAAAGUGAUAAUAUCUGGAAAAGAUAUCACCGGAUAUCACAACUGUAUGCCAUAGUUAUCACUGGCCAGGUGAUAAUAUCAAACAAUGGGGUACUAAAUGAUAAUUGCACUUAUAGAAAUGUCUGCCUUUCUACAAAAAUUUCAUAAAUACCCCUUUUGCGAGCUUUCAGAUAUUUGGUGAUAGUUCAGAUUAUAACCUUGGAAGUAUGUCUAGAUCAAAUGUGUUCUGUCAAUGUUAAUUCAAACAUUUGAAAAGCUUCUUUUUUUUAAUUUUUCAGUCAUCUGCUAUGUUUAGUGACUGUGUUUAGUGAGAAGUACAAACCCCUCCUUUUAGGAGUUCUAGUAUGCGAAAAGGAGUGAGUCGAAUAAAUCUUUCCCGUAAAGAGGAAAUCCAGCAUUUCAAAAUGUAAUACCAUGGGCGAGGAAAUGCUUACUGUAUGCACAACAGCCCUCAUAUUUUCCCAGUAGAUGUUUUAACACGUUGGAUAGUAAAAGUUUAAGCCAUUCAAAAGUUUUGGCUGUUUGCUGGUUUGAAAACCUGCAUUAAAAGGGAUUGAGGAGAAGGCAAUUGCAUCCAGGAAGAAAAGCCAUACACAAAAGAGGGUGCUGCAGCAGUUGCGGUUUCCAAGCUUUGAAGACGCAGGUUCAUCUCCCUGCGGUGUCCCACAUUUCCUGAGCCACCCUGAACACAGUCACCCACUCCGAGCUCCAGCUCUUUGUCCGGUGAAGGUGAAAGUUGUUCCUUCUCUUGCAGAUUUGUUAUAAAGCAAAAUAUGGUCCAGACUGGGAAGCACCUCUGGGACAGCCAAGUUCUACAAGUACGUGAUAUAUCGAGUUUCUUUUUUGGAAUACGCAUUACAAGUUCACAAACAUGUAAUGUCAUUUUAGCAGCAUGGUUUUACCAUUUUAUAUGAAGAUUAGCAAACAAAAGCUGAAGGCAUGUCUGAACUAAGUGAGAAAGUGUUCCUUUAGAGAAAAACAGACUCACGCUUUUCAGGCUUUCUGGGCUGCUGGAUCCAAAUAUGAGAAUAAUACCUACAAACACACGGAAAAUAAGGGAGCAGCAGUGUGGAAAUUAAUAUAUUCUAACGGGAAAAUUAUAAAAAAAUGCAGCUGUGCUUGCUUUCCCUACUGAUCCCCAGCCUUCAAAUUCCUCUAAAUUAAAUUGUAAAAUAAUGAUUUCCUUUUCUGUUUUCUGCUAAGCUACAUAGUUAAUCCCUGAUACAGAAAUACAUAAAGAAUACAUAUAUUUAGGAAAACCAUUAUUAUUAAAAUAGAGAAGGCCUCAAACCAAAGUGUUUCCACAAUUUCCAGUGCACAUUUGAACCCAGAUCUAAAUUCUCUCCCUGGGUCUGUCUUUGUCUAAACCUUUUGUUCAUAACCUGAUUUUCAGGAGGAAAACCAGACUAUGAUUUUAACAGGAACAGUCAGUUGUCGUAGCAAACACAUAUACUGAAAUAAUCUGAAACAGCCUGUCUGCUUUAGCUUUUUUAAGCUUAUGAUUAUUUUUUCCUGAUGAUUUCAAAUGGCAGCAUAGUAAGAACAGCAGACAGGCCUGGAAGAGGACUGUCUCCAUUAUCAACAGCAGUCGAUGCUAGACUGUUAAAUAUAACAGAGCUUCUGAGCUUGUAAAGACUAACCAAUAGAAGGCAUUUUAAUAACUUUAAUUAAAGUUAUUCAGUUAUUCAGGAUUUCCAUGACUUUACUGAGGUCACCGAUGUCAGAGGAAUGCAUGUAUUUUAAAUUUCUCAUUUUCUCAGCCAAAGUGAACAUGGCAUUUAAGCACAUUGUCAACCUAUGUGGCAUCGCAAUUCUUUUUAAAUAGGAGUUGUUUAUUUAAGAAGAAGCAGUUGCAACUAUAGGCCAACUAUGGCUCUGCACUACGUGAAUUGCAGUGUUGUCUUUUUUGUUUACCAGGAACUAGUUCUGACCCGAUUGCAGAUGGCAGGUUGUGCCAUCCAGUGGCUCUGUCCUCUGGUGCCCUGAAGACAUGCAAAUGAGUGAGAAAUGCAAAGGACAUCUCCUUUUCAUAAAAAAUACUAAGUUAUAGAUGAUAUAUAACUACCUUUUCUUCCAAACUGCAUCUUUUUUUUUAACAUGCCUUCUUUCUCUCCUGCAUCCCCUGCCACCAGGUCAAAAAGAAAACUAAGGGAAAAAAAAAAAAGACUCACAACAAAGAAUUAUUCUGGGACUUUUGAGAGAAACUGGGAUAUUUAUGGAUUUAUUAUAUUCCCUGUGAUAACAAGUUUCUGAGAUGUUGGUACACUGUCAAAUAUUUUUCAAGGUUAACAGUUUAGGGACACAACUAUGUUGCAAGUUGUCUGCAAGAUUAAUUAAGGGUAUUUCAGAGAUAUGGGAGAAAAAUUGUUCCAGCAGCUCUUAGAGUGUGAGUAAUCCCAACUCAAAGAGUAGUACCCCUUCAUUUCAGACCUCUUCACAGAAAAUAUUCCCAUGUUUAAGUCAUACUCGGAAGCAAAUAAAAUGUACAUGUUUGGGCUGAGAUGCGCAGUGACGGUGAGGCAAUUCUAGACACAGCCCAUACAGUCGCUACCUGCUAGCAACCCGAGCAGGGAUGGCCCCUCCAGAAAGGUUAUUUUUAAAUAAAUAUUUCUCUGGGCCAGAAAACACCAGAAGAUCCCACAGAGGCAAUGAAGGCAGACGCGAGAGCCAGGCUCACUGGAGCUCCCCUCUACAUCGACAGCCGCUGGGCAGGCACCGGGAGGGCAAUGGGGGACUUAUCAUUCGGUACUGAUAGCAAAAUUAUUGGGCCAGUUACUCAAAAGUCAGGGAUUGUCUGUUAAAAUAACUGCAAGAUGCAGAGAACUGUGAAUAUUAGAGGUCUUAAAUAAAGGAAAUAAAACCACCAACAACCCAGCACUUUAAUCAAAGCACUGCAACCAAUAUACAUAUCUAUCUAUCUAUCUAUAAUCUGAUAUUAUUUUUAAUCCUUUUUUUAAAUCCCAGUCACUAAUGAGGGAUAAUGCUGGAUUGAAGAGGGCCAAAGAGAUUUAUUGAUACAAACUCAGAGACAUCGCUGUAAAUCAGGACAGUGAAGAAGUAUGCCACUGCUGGCUUAUGUUCUCUUCCUGCAAAAGGACAGGGAUGAAUGAACAAGUGUCUGAAUGAAUGACUGAAUAGAUGAAUGAAUGAAAGAAUGAAUGCAUAAUCAAAUAAAUACAUUAAAAUACAUUGCCAACUUGCUGGGCUCACAUAGCAAGGGAGCUCUUCGGGGCCUUUGUAAAAAUACGGGCAACGGUGUCCUCACUUUUAUUAUAAAUUAAAAUCUGCUCAGCCCAAUCCCUCCGAGUGUUUAAUUUUUACCGAAGGUCAAAAGGUGCUUUGCUUUUGGAAAAAAACGCAGACUUUGGCUCUCUGUGCUGUCAAACCUGCAGCUCCGUAGAAGUCCAUUUCCCGAUCAGGAGCACGGCACUCCUGCUGCUCUGCCUGGCCGCGGAUCCCCAGGAAUCCCCAGGGCCACCACGCUGCUGGCACGCCAGCGCAGUCCCCGUGGCAGGACAGAUUUUGUGCAAUCGUCAGCCUCUUUCCCCCUUCCCUGCAGCGCUGAAGGCCCUUUCCUCUUCGCCGGCCACAAGCCCAGCCCCGCAUUUGUCAUACUGCUUUGAUAUUUAACAUGAGGGCUGCAUGCCAUGUAUCAGGGUGGCAUCUGUUUCUGGGCAAGGGGCAAGAAGGAAAGCUGGUGGACACCUUAUAGGAACCCAGUGAAAGUUGUAGGCUUUUCUUCAGAAGGUGCCAGCUAUACAAAGAACAUGACAAAUGUCUCUGUGAGCUCCAGCUUGCAGAAGCCACGUAUCUGGCUUCAUGGGAAUAGUUUUAUUCCUUUUGAAGAGAUCGUGGUGAUCCAAAUUUAUUUAUUUUAUUUUUCCUGAAAUCCAUCUCUGUUUUGAACUUUGUGAUCUGAUUAGCUGAAAGUCACUUGCAUUUCAUUCCCCUUCCCUCUGCUUGAGAAAAACACUUCUGUAACGAGGACCUUGAGGAUGAAGCUCUUCUAGCUUGAGACGAAGGUUCUCCAAAUGAGAAGUACAGAGCUGUGACUGCCAAUUUAAUUAGCUUUCACGCAUUCAUACCCAGAUGGAAGAAUUUUUGGAAGGAAAGAAUAUAUUCAAUAUGAAUAAACUACUUUAUUUUUUAAAUAACUAAACCAGCAGUUUUAUUUCCCACUGCUAAUAUUUCUGUCAGUCAGGUCAAGGAUAAUGAACCAAAAUUCUAGGAAGGCUCACCCAAACUUUGGCUUUUCUUAUUGAAAAUGUUCCCAUUCAUAAAACCUACAUCUGCAAAUACAAAAUCAACAGUUAAAUGUUUGCCUUAUCUGUGUCCGCAUUUCUCCAAGGAGAGAUGAUUUUUACCCAGUUUUCACUUAUAACAUUCUGCGGAAGUUUUUGAAGGAAAAACAAGUCUUCUAAACUUUGUUACUGUUAUUAUUAUUAUUACCUGUGGGUAAAUAGGUUCUCUGCUGUUAACAGACCCAGUGUUUUCAUUCCAUAAUAAAAACUUUUUCCAUAUGUGUCUCCAUUCAUGGUUUAGAUUAGUUCCUUCCCCCCCCAGUUUUUGUAAGACAAUUUUUUUCCUUCUAAUGAAAAGGAAAAACACAAACCCCCAACCCUAUAAGGGAACAUGGCUUCUGGAAUAAAAUAAAAUGAAAAAAGUACGUAUUAUGGAAAGUAUUAGAGAUGUACAAACAUCAAAGUGCAAUGUACUUUAGCAGGACCCAGGUUACAUGUUUUAAGAAACUGCUUCCAGCAGAUAAAAUAACUGCUAAAAGCAGGUGUUUAUUCUGAAAGCUGCAGCAAUGUUUUUCUGUCAUGUCACAUUAAAUCAUUUACACUGCAUCAUGCUAUGUUACACCACAUCAUGUUAGUACAUAUGGUGAAGAAACCAAAGUGGAGUAACGUGAUGUGACAGACAACAUUUAGCAAAAAUAUUCACUUAUUUGACUCAGAUACUUGCUAUCAGUUUGAAUCGGAGAGCGUGGUCCCAAAUGAAGCUGACAGAUGGAUGUGAACUCACCAAGGAACAGCAUCCAAUGCAAAUCUGAAAGUUUUUCGUCAUGUACCUGGUACUCGUCCUGCUGAUGGUUGCUACUGUCCUCAGCUCCUCUUUCUCAGAAUUUUCCUCCCUGCUGCAAGUAGUUUGACCAGUUGGUUGUCAUUUGUUUUGACAUAACUCAUGACUUUCACAUGAGGGACUAAUGACAUCUUGGUAUACUUGGUAUAGAAGUGCUGUUAAAUGACAGUUGAUGGAAUUGCUGUAAACAGUUUUUUAUAUGAGUGAAAUUGUGAACGACACAAAAAAGAGCAUUGGGACUCUGUAUUUAUGUAUAGAGGGACUAUUUUAGCUAGCAAGAAGCUUAUCCCUUAAGGCACCCAUAUUUUAUAGUGUGGCAAAGUCUUUUUGAUGGACUUAAAAAUAUUGAGACUUCUUUAUUGCUCUUGGAGGAACUAUUCCAUGGUAAUACUUCUAAAAAAGUUGAGGAAAGAAGUGCAUGUUUAUGAAGAUAAGUAAAUCAAGUAAUCAAGUAUAAGCCAGGCAGCUGUGGUGCAGGCCUUGCCAUACAAGGAUUUUUAUAAGCAUCGGUCCUGACCUAGAUGAUGACCUCCAACCCAUGGGGGGCAGGUCUUGGAGAGCUACAGAGCUUUGGUACAAUCUACUGUCCUAGCAGAAAUGAGGAUGAGAGAACCUCAUUCCGGGUAUCAAAGAGGGCUUCACCGAUGCUAGUGAAGGUAGCUCAAUGGCAUAAGGCCUAGCUGUUGAAGUAUGAAAAAAAUUUGCAUGUGGACUUGAAGACUAUCCUUUUUCUGCUGAUGGAGCCCAAGAGAUAGGCCAAGGUGCCAAGUGAUUUUCUGUAUCCCACCAAUAUGGAGCCGUAGUGGUAAGUGCGUAGAUGCAACUCUAGAGAAAAGAACAAGACAACCAAAGGUUUGCAGGAUUCUGAAAAGAAAGCUAUAGAUGUCAAAAUGUAAAUUUGUAUUAUGGCAGUAAUUCACAGGAUCCGUGGUCCUUUGCCUUCCCACCCCUUGCAGAGAGAGUUUUCAAGACUUCUCAUUCUGCCAUUUGCUGUUCAGUCUCAAUCAGCAGUUUGCAAUGUUUGUCCAGAGGCAUUUUAUAAAAAUAGCAAUAAAUGCUACCAAUAAUGCUAAUGAUUGGAAGAUGCACCUAAGAAAGAUGUGUGCCCAUUUCACAGCUGAAGUGCGCACAACGUCCCUACACGUUCAUGCAGGUAUGAGCACACUGCCCAAAAGGAGCUGAGGAAAAAAGGUAUAAUUGCAAAAGAAGAAGAAAAAAGGAACAAUGCUAACUGAAACCUCAGGAGCCUUCUUGCCUCGGGCAGUCUCCUGAAGAUGUGGUGAUGGGCUGAGAUCUUGCAUCAGCGAUCAGCAGUUUCUACUGCCUUGUCUGUAAGCCGAGCGUGGGCUGGUGCCUCCGCGGGGAUGCAGAGCGGGGAGCACUGGGAGGGGAAGCCCUGGCAUGGUUGGGUUCCCCAAAAUGCAAUGUGAUAGCGGGGUGGGAGGCUUCUCCCAGCAGCCGAGGAGAGCUGACGUGAAUGAAUCCUCGUCCAAAGGGUAGGUAACUGCUCUCGGUGAAGCAAAACCAAAAAAGGCCCCUAGGUCCGAUACCCAAAGAGCCCACGUCUACCCUGAGAAGCUGCUAAGCACCGAGGAGCCCCAUCUGCUGCUGUCUCUGCAGGUUUUGCACAUCCCUCUUAUGCUCAGCAUGGAUGUGAGCCUUUACCAGCCAUUUACUGAAGUGCCAGAACGCAUAAAGAAAUGCUGCUUCUUGCUCUCGGUCACACCAGCCUCUCCAGCAGCUUUUAAGUAAAGGUUUCUGCCUAUCUGCCUAGGCAAAGGCAUCGUACCUUGCGCUUGCUUUGAGAGCUUGUUCUGGUGUGUGAAGGUGUUUUGUGAAAAGAAAUCCUUUGAGCAAGUGUGCUAUUCUUUUCUUACCUGAUGGAAAAUAAUAAAAAAGUGAUUAAAUAAUUAAUACUGGAUGUUGCUUAACGGUUGCUAAGAGGCUUACUUAAUAAUUUUCUGAAGCUUUUUUUUUCCUAAUUUAGGAAUAAAACCGACAUAAUUGAGCAUGCUAUUCUGAUGCUGCAAAUAACACUCUGAGGAGAAUCGAAGGAAACACGUUUCUUUGAUUAGAAUAUUUUCCUCAUUAACAGGAUGUUCAAAAUAAAGCAAAAAUAUUUGAUGCACAGAGCCUGUGGCAGUAUCAAGUUAACACUGGCAUGCUCCCGCAUUUUACUUCAUGUUUACUAAUCAAUCAAAAAAACCUCUUGCUGGCAAGAAAGGUCACAUCUUUCAUCACAAAACUGAAACUUUUUGACAACAAACAAUUGGAUUUUCACCAUUCUGUUUAAAGUGGAUUUCAGUGUGGAGAGUGAAAGCCCAAGGUAGCAGGAUGGUGGGCACGGGGUUAGAUAAACAAGCAGAGCUGUCCAUCUAGAUGUUGGGUACCACAUACUCUGAGCAAGGAGACAGUCUCAGCUGUAUUAAGAUAUGAUGCUAUUCUAAAGCAAUGGUAUCUAAGUUCAAAUUAUUUGGAGGAGAAAAUAAAUAAUGUUUGGGGAGGUAUUGGUGUGCGGUUUUGGCUCAGACGAUAGUGUAAGGGUUAAGAUACCCGUGCCUGUCUGGCUCAGGGUGCUGGAGGACGAGCUAGCCUCCUGGGCAUGCAAGCAACAGCUACCUGCAGAGUGUUAAACCAUGUUCCUCCUCCAGAUACUUUUCUCUGUUUUAUCUCAGGAUAGAAACAAACACUCUGUGCCUCUACUGGGGCCUUCUAGUUCUAUUCUUUCUCUAAACAUUUUUUUAAAGACUUGUAUCUCGAUAAAGCGAAUUUUCUUGGCAGUUGGAAAAAAAAAGACUUUGUUUUCCCAGGUAGAAAAUACAGCCUGAUGGUUUCACAAGCAAAAUAGUCCCCAUGCAAUUUCUUCUUUUUCUCUCCCCUUCCCAUUUGUUCUGCUACAAGCGGAGGAGCAGCCCUGUUGCCCUUUCUCAGCGGGGUAAGGGAAUCCCUGCCUCUUUGGGAGCGGUUCCCACCCAUCCAUGGGUGCAGACGGGAGCUGGACCAGGGGCUGCGAGCAGAUGUGGCCAGAGCACGCGGCUCAGCUCUCCUCUUCACCAUCUCCUUGGCUCUUCUGUGAGUUACAGUCAUGCCCUUGAAAGAACUGGGGUGAAAUCAGAGAAGUGAUCACAAAGUAUCACCGGUUUUGUUGUUUUUCCUUCCCCUCCACUGGUUGCACAGACAUCAGGCACCUCCAAGGAGUCUCCCAGGCAGUGACAAUAGCAGGACGCAGACUUACCCCCGGCCAGGAUUUACACCCUCAGUCUCCUGGAGAAAUCAUUGAUAUGAAAAGAUGCACACAUUGCCUGCAGCUAUAGCACAUAUUGCAUGGCAUGACACACACAUAAGUGAGAUUAAUUUGAGUUCUGGGCAUCAUUAGCUCAAUUAAAACUGUGAUUUUUUAGUUCAGACCUACAGGCCAUUGCGGAGAAGAGUAAUCAUAAGACAGAAACGAGUUCCCUAGUUAAAAAUUAAUUCCCUAGACUAAAAAUAUAAUCAAACGAUGUCUACAGUAUUUUAUGAAGAGCUGGGAGGAUAAUAAAAUUUAAAGCAGUGCAACAUUUGCAUUUUGUUCGUUUCUAUCCACAUUUUUCCAUAGACUGCCUUUUUGUGUGCUUGUUAAUCAUAUGCACUGCUACAGUCCUGGCAUUUUAAGAUCACUGUUCACAUCAAGAUUGAAAGGAAACUAAUUACAAUCACAUUUCAGGGUGGUUGUUUAAAGCUCGUACGGCGCUGACUACAGCACAGGAGCCUUGACCUUUAUUUGUAAGCAUGAAAAUAAGGUAAAGAUGAAAGAUUGCUUUUCCUCCAGCUCAUAUGCAGGAAUCAGGAGGCCCUCUGGAGAAGCAGAAAUGUGGUAAGUCCCUGCACAGUCUCUCUCCUCGCCUCCUCUCCCAUGCUGGCAGCAGAGGCCAGUAGUGCUAUGCAGAAGCUGCGCUCCACUGCAGCGAGAGGUGAAUGAAAGCACCACGUUAUUUUGCAGGAGGAACAUGCAAUGAAUUAGCAGACCCGAGGAGUCUGUCGUUUUGACCCCCAUCUGGAGCUUUUUAGUUAACGGUUGGCAUUGCCUAGUGCUGCACGCCAUGCUCAUGAGAUGAUGGAGGUAUCGACACGUGCGGGCUACCUGUGGGCGAGAGCUGCAAGCAGUACUACAGUCUCUUCUGCCGCUCCCAUUAUGGCUUAAUAACACUAAUAGGAUCUAGGUGGAUGCAUUGGGGCAGGAUAAGGUCCCCCUAAUCUGGGGAAGUACAGGUAAUUCUAAUGGUAUCUCUGAUUUCAUUAAAUGCGAAUGCAUUUAGAGCAUGCUGAAUGGCAGGUUUAUUCAGUAGGUUUCACCUGCUUCUGUUUCCCUGAAUUUUCAAAACUAUAAUUUUAAUAAAUUUGUACUAUGCUCAAAAUAAGCCGAGAGGUAGUUACACAAACAGGUUUCAGCCCAGGAGCUGCCGAUGUGGUAUUUGCUCUAAAUGCUCCUUUCAGUACCAUUACCCGGCAUUCAAAGCCUUGCUAUGGUAAGCGCCAACCCCCAAAGGAUCUCCUGAGCUUGCAUCCUCCCUGUGUUAUCGCAGCUCUGCACCGAAAUGAGUUCAUUGAAGAAAAGUACACCAGCACUGAACUGAAGCGAUCACAUUCUCCUCUUGUAUUCAGCACUGUAUUUACCCUGCACAAUCAUUUUAUUUGCCAGGCUCCAUUUUCUAGCAGAAAUUACUGUUGGAGCCCUGAGGUUCGGUGAGUUUAUUGGCAGUAUCUGCCAGGUAAUUUGUAUCUCCGGGUUGGAAAAGCUCUAUUUAGGACAUUAAGCAACGCAAGAAGGGAAAUGAAUCUCACACCGUCUCCAAAAACCCUCCAAACCAUCCCUUUUGCUAAGCAUGCUGCAGGCAGAGGACCCUGCUUGCCUGGUCCGUGCUGAGGAUGCAGACCUCGGCGUGGACACUGCUGGGGACCCGGUUGCCAUUCGAGCCGAGAAGCAAAGAUGGUUUCGCAAAACUUUUGUAGUGGAUUCUGCUUCUGUCUACGUUCUUCAAAGAAAAAAUUUACCCAGGCAAAUAUUUAUAGAAACUAGAGAAAAAAAAAUAAAGAGUAGUGAAAGCUGCUGCAGUGAACUUCUAAUUACAUCCACAAAGUGUUUAUGGAUAAAUUUAUCUAUUAUUUGUCUAGUUCUAGCACUGCAUAUACUUUGCCUUGUACUGUUACAGGCUGAAGAAAACAAUAUGCAGCAUGAAAAUGAAAACAAUUUGACUUAAUUAUUUACACCAUUACCACCCCUUUGAAUUAGGCCCUCCAUUUCUUCGGUAUUUUGUAAAAUUUAACUGGUAAUUAUGCUUGCUUGCUUAAUUUUAUUUAUCUACUACUACAAUAAGAUCAAAACAAAAAACCUACCAGAAUGCAAAGUGCCAGCUAUGUCCCCUAAUUGUAAAUGUUGCUUUUAAGCUUUUAUGAUAACAAUGUAGUAUUUUGUACCAUUUCCUUUAAAGUGUAUCUGGCUAUGCUCCAAUACUAUUUAAGUGUAAACAGGAAAAGCCUUGGAGGACAAGUAAUCAUACUUAAAUGACACAAAGAUCAUUAAAAUAAUGUUCCAAAACCAUGGCAAAAUUA